GAGUUUGAUCGUGGCUCAGGAUGAACGCUGGCGGCGUGCCUAACACAUGCAAGUCGAACGGGCGCGGCGUGCGGCAGGGGCCUCGGCCCCUGCGGCGCCGCGCGAGUGGCGGACGGGUGAGUAACGCGUGGGCAACCUGCCCUGUACUGGGGGAUAACACCUGGAAACAGGUGCUAAUACCGCAUAAGCGCGCUGUGCCGCAUGGCACGGCGCGGAAAACCCCGGUGGUACAGGAUGGGCCCGCGUCUGAUUAGCUGGUUGGCAGGGUAACGGCCUACCAAGGCGACGAUCAGUAGCCGGCCCGAGAGGGUGGACGGCCACACUGGGACUGAGACACGGCCCAGACUCCUACGGGAGGCAGCAGUGGGGGAUAUUGCACAAUGGGGGAACCCUGAUGCAGCGACGCCGCGUGGGUGAAGGAGCGUUUCGGCGCGUAAAGCCCUAUCGGCAGGGAGAGAUGACGGUACCUGACCAGAAGCCCGGCUAACUACGUGCCAGCAGCCGCGUAAC
rnacentral:rRNA from 1 species